GCUGUUGGCUUAGGGGCUUAUUGUAAAUACAUAUGAUAGAUUUAGCAAAAGCACAGUGUUUUGUAAACAUGUUGACGCUGCAAUGUGACCGUGUCUUAGCCUUGGUUUUGCAUUUCAAUGUUUUCUUAAUGAUUACAAAUCUGUCACACUUAGCUUGCAGUUUAGACACACACACACACACGCCUUGUGGAACACACACACUCUGAAACACACACACACAACAUGUUUUGGGGUUGUCGUGGGGUUGUUGAUUACUGAUUAUACUGAUUACACCGUAACUUGCAGUUUACAGUCUCAGCAUGCACAGGCUGUCAUCAAAUAUUUGUGGCAGACUGUUCACACACUCAGUCACACAUGUUGUGGCAUAGCAGGACAAGCUGUUGCAGGCAAUCCCAUUAAUCCACAGUAACAGAGCACUUCCUUCAUACUCUCUCUCUCUGUCUCUGUCUGUCUCCCUCUCUCUAUUGGUCUCAACUAAAUGGCAGAUUUAUAAAAAUCAAAUGGCGUUCUCAUUGUUUGUAUUUGUUUGCGGGUCUCCAGAGAGAGAUGUCUCCUGUCAAGCCACAAAUACAGAGGAAGGUGUCUCCCCUCAAGCCACAGAGAGAGAGGAAGGUGUCUCCCCUCAAGCCACAGAGAGAGAGGGAGCUGUCUCCCCUCAAGCCACAGAGAGAGAGGGAGCUGUCUCCCCUCAAGCCACAGAGAGAGAGAUGUCUCCCCUCAAGCCACAGAGAGAGAGAGAGAGAUGUCUCCCCUCAAGCCACAGAGAGAGAGGGAGCUGUCUCCCCUCAAGCCACAGAGAGAGAGGGAGAUGUCUCCCCUCAAGCCACAGAGAGAGAGAGAGAGAGAGGGAGAUGUCUCCCCUCAAGCCACAGAGAGAGAGGGAGAUGUCUCCCCUCAAGCCACAGAGAGAGAGAGAGAGAUGUCUCCCCUCAAACCACAGAGAGAGAGGGAGAUAUGUCUCCCCUCAAGCCACAGAGAGAGAGAGAGAUGUCUCCCCUCAAGCCACAGAGAGAGAGGGAGCUGUCUCCUGUCAAGCCACAGAGAGAGAGAGAGAGAGAGGGAGAUGUCUCCCCUCAAGCCACAGAGAGAGGGAGAUAUGUCUCCCCUCAAGCCACAGAGAGAGGGAGAUGUCUCCCCUCAAGGCACAGAGAGAGAGAUGUCUCCCCUCAAGCCACAGAGAGAGAGGGAGAUGUCUCCCCUCAAGCCACAGAGAGAGAGGGAGCUGUCUCCCCUCAAACCACAGAGAGAGAGAGAGAUGUCUCCCCUCAAACCACAGAGAGAGAGAGAGAUGUCUCCCCUCAAGCCACAGAGAGAGAGAGAGAUGUCUCCCCUCAAGCCACAGAGAGAGAGGGAGAUGUCUCCCCUCAAGCCACAGAGAGAGAGGGAGAUGUCUCUCCUCAAGCCACAGAGAGAGAGGGAGAUGUCUCCCCUCAAGCCACAGAGAGAGAGGGAGAUGUCUCCCCUCAAGCCACAGAGAGAGAGGGAGAUGUCUCCCCUCAAGCCACAGAGAGAGAGAU
rnacentral:lncRNA from 1 species